UGGGGAAUAUUGGACAAUGGGGGCAACCCUGAUCCAGCCAUGCCGCGUGAGUGAUGAAGGCCUUCGGGUUGUAAAGCUCUUUUGGCGGGGACGAUGAUGACGGUACCCGCAGAAUAAGCCCCGGCUAACUUCGUGCCAGCAGCCGCGGUAAGACGAAGGGGGCUAGCGUUGUUCGGAAUUACUGGGCGUAAAGCGAGUGUAGGCGGUUGCCGUAGUCAGGUGUGAAAGCCUUGAGCUCAACUCAAGAAAUGCACUUGAUACUGGGUGACUAGAGGACCGGAGAGGAUAGUGGAAUUCCCAGUGUAGUGGUGAAAUACGUAGAGAUUGGGAAGAACACCAGUGGCGAAGGCGGCUAUCUGGACGGUUACUGACGCUAAGACUCGAAAGCGUGGGGAGCAAACAGGAUUAGAUACCCUGGUAGUCCACGCCGUAAACGAUGGGUGCUAGACGUUGGCGAGCUUGCUCGUCAGUGUCGCAGCUAACGCGUUAAGCACCCCGCCUGGGGAGUACGGCCGCAAGGUUGAAACUCAAAUGAAUUGACGGGGGUCAUAGCUGUUUUCCU
rnacentral:rRNA from 1 species